rnacentral:rRNA from 1 species
CAGCUCGUGUUGUGAAAUGUUGGGUUAAGUCCCGCAACGAGCGCAACCCUUAUCCUUUGUUGCCAGCGGUCCGGCCGGGAACUCAAAGGAGACUGCCAGUGAUAAACUGGAGGAAGGUGGGGAUGACGUCAAGUCAUCAUGGCCCUUACGACCAGGGCUACACACGUGCUACAAUGGCGCAUACAAAGAGAAGCGACCUCGCGAGAGCAAGCGGACCUCAUAAAGUGCGUCGUAGUCCGGAUUGGAGUCUGCAACUCGACUCCAUGAAGUCGGAAUCGCUAGUAAUCGUGGAUCAGAAUGCCACGGUGAAUACGUUCCCGGGCCUUGUACACACCGCCCGUCACACCAUGGGAGUGGGUUGCAAAAGAAGUAGGUAGCUUAACCUUCGGGAGGGCGCUUACCACUUUGUGAUUCAUGACUGGGGUGAAGUCGUAACAAGGUAACCGUAGGGGAACCUGCGGUUGGAUCACCUCCUUACCUUAAAGAAGC